rnacentral:tRNA from 1 species
CAGGGUGUGGCUGAACACCUAAGCACCUCCCUUACACUGAGACAACGUCCGUGCAACUCGGACCGCCCUGA